rnacentral:rRNA from 1 species
AACGAACGCUGGCGGCAGGCUUAACACAUGCAAGUCGAGCGCCCCGCAAGGGGAGCGGCAGACGGGUGAGUAACGCGUGGGAAUCUACCCAUCUCUACGGAAUAACGCAUGGAAACGUGUGCUAAUACCGUAUACGUCCUUCGGGGGAAAGAUUUAUCGGAGAUGGAUGAGCCCGCGUUGGAUUAGCUAGUUGGUGGGGUAAAGGCCUACCAAGGCGACGAUCCAUAGCUGGUCUGAGAGGAUGAUCAGCCACACUGGGACUGAGACGCGGCCCAGACUCCUACGGGAGGCAGCAGUGGGGAAUAUUGGACAAUGGGCGCAAGCCUGAUCCAGCCAUGCCGCGUGAGUGAUGAAGGCCCUGGGGUUGUAAAGCUCUUUCACCGGUGAAGAUAAUGACGGUAACCGGAGAAGAAGCCCCGGCUAACUUCGUGCCAGCCGCCGCGGUAAGAC